rnacentral:rRNA from 1 species
AGAGUUUGAUCCUGGCUCAGAGCGAACGCUGGCGGCAGGCUUAACACAUGCAAGUCGAGCGGGCGUAGCAAUACGUCAGCGGCAGACGGGUGAGUAACGCGUGGGAACGUACCUUUUGGUUCGGAACAACACAGGGAAACUUGUGCUAAUACCGAAUAAGCCCUUACGGGGAAAGAUUUAUCGCCGAAAGAUCGGCCCGCGUCUGAUUAGCUAGUUGGUGAGGUAACGGCUCACCAAGGCGACGAUCAGUAGCUGGUCUGAGAGGAUGAUCAGCCACAUUGGGACUGAGACACGGCCCAAACUCCUACGGGAGGCAGCAGUGGGGAAUAUUGGACAAUGGGCGCAGGCCUGAUCCAGCCAUGCCGCGUGAGUGAUGAAGGCCCUAGGGUUGUAAAGCUCUUUUGUGCGGGAAGAUAAUGACGGUACCGCAAGAAUAAGCCCCGGCUAACUUCGUGCCAGCAGCCGCGGUAAUACGAAGGGGGCUAGCGUUGCUCGGAAUCACUGGGCGUAAAGGGUGCGUAGGCGGGUCUUUAAGUCAGGGGUGAAAUCCUGGAGCUCAACUCCAGAACUGCCUUUGAUACUGAGGAUCUUGAGUUCGGGAGAGGUGAGUGGAACUGCGAGUGUAGAGGUGAAAUUCGUAGAUAUUCGCAAGAACACCAGUGGCGAAGGCGGCUCACUGGCCCGAUACUGACGCUGAGGCACGAAAGCGUGGGGAGCAAACAGGACUAGAUACCCUGGUAGUCCACGCCCUAAACGAUGUCUACUAGUUGUCGGGUCUUAAUUGACUUGGUAACGCAGCUAACGCGUGAAGUAGACCGCCUGGGGAGUACGGUCGCAAGAUUAAAACUCAAAGGAAUUGACGGGGACCCGCACAAGCGGUGGAUGAUGUGGAUUAAUUCGAUGCAACGCGAAAAACCUUACCUACCCUUGACAUGUCUGGAAUCCCUGAGAGAUUAGGGAGUGCUCGAAAGAGAAUCAGAACACAGGUGCUGCAUGGCUGUCGUCAGCUCGUGUCGUGAGAUGUUGGGUUAAGUCCCGCAACGAGCGCAACCCUUGUCAUUAGUUGCUACGAAAGGGCACUCUAAUGAGACUGCCGGUGACAAACCGGAGGAAGGUGGGGAUGACGUCAAGUCCUCAUGGCCCUUAUGGGUAGGGCUUCACACGUCAUACAAUGAUACAUACAGAGGGCCGCCAACCCGCGAGGGGGAGCUAAUCCCAGAAAGUGUAUCGUAGUCCGGAUUGGAGUCUGCAACUCGACUCCAUGAAGUUGGAAUCGCUAGUAAUCGCGGAUCAGCAUGUCGCGGUGAAUACGUUCCCGGGUCUUGUACACACCGCCCGUCACACCAUGGGAGCGGGUUUCACCAGAAGUGGGUAGCCUAACCGCAAGGAGGGCGCUCACCACGGUGGGAUUCGUGACUGGGGUGAAGUCGUAACAAGGUA